UACAGAGGUCCCAAGCGUUGUUCGGAUUCACUGGGCGUAAAGGGUGCGUAGGUGGUUGGGUAAGUUUGGUGUGAAAUCUCCGAGCCUAACUCGGAAAUGGCAUCGAAUACUAUUCAGCUUGAGGAUUGGAGGGGAGACUGGAAUUCUCGGUGUAGCAGUGAAAUGCGUAGAUAUCGUGAGGAAGACCAGUGGCGAAAGCGAUUCUCUGGGCAGUUCCUGACACUGAGGCACGAAGGCCAGGGGAGCAAACGGG
rnacentral:rRNA from 1 species